GACGUAGGGACCGAGCGUUGUCCGGAUUUAUUGGGCGUAAAGCGCGCGCAGGCGGCCGUGCAAGUCGGAUGUGAAAAUCCGGAGCUCAACUCCGGACCUGCAUUCGAAACUGCACGGCUAGAGGCAGGUAGGGGAGAGGGGAAUUCCCGGUGUAGCGGUGAAAUGCGCAGAUAUCGGGAGGAACACCGGUGGCGAAGGCGCCUCUCUGGGCCUGUCCUGACGCUCAGGCGCGAAAGCUAGGGGAGCAAACAGG
rnacentral:rRNA from 1 species